CGUAAGACAAUAGGAUGAACCGAUGUGAACGUCUAAUUAAUUUUGCUUUUUGAAUCUUCAUCACUUUUCGAAGAGGGACGGACGAAAAACCUUUAAAAGUAUAAAUACAUACCAUAACCAUUAAUCCAAAACACAUCAGAUUGACCAGAAAAUCAUCAAUCUGAUGGUUUCGCAUCAAUGUCGGGCGUUUAAGGUGAUAUGAUAUUACACCAUCUUGAGUUAUUCAAAUAUAUUAUAUUACAUAUUGUUGAGUUAAUCAAAUUUAAGAUACAAUCGGCAAGUUUUCUACUGAUUAAGAAUCAAAAGUAAUACAGGGAUGCAAUACAGAAGGGGGAUGAUAAUAUUAGAUGGAAAGGUUAACGAUGGGAAGAAUCUUUCUCAGGUCCAUUUUAAUGUUAGGCUUUUGUUAAUCCUUGAUCCAUUUAAUUGUUGGGUUGCAUGAUUGGUUACGUUUCAAAUCGUCAGAGAAAGAGAGGAAACAAAAACUGAUUUUCUUCAAUCUCAUUUCAACUUUUCAUAUAGCCCUGUUAUACUAUCACCAAACUAAUGGUUGGAUUUAAAUUCUAAUAACAUUAAAUUUAAAUUUAUUAUAAUGCGAUUUUUUAAUUUCUGUUUUCAGAAAUUUAUAAAAUAAAUGUCUUAGUUUGAUGUUGUAACCAUGGAUAAAGCAAAAAGAAAAAUAUGUUUUGAAUUAAACUAAUAAUUGCAUCUCAUAUGUUAAUACUAAAGACAUUUAUAAUCAACCUCCCGCCGCAACGCGCGGGUUUGCGUCAACUUGUUAUAUAUACACAAAUCAAAUCAGUCAUUUUAUUCUUAUUGUGGUGUCGUGUUUAGGGACUGUGUCCUUGAAAAAAACAAUUUAGUGUAUUUUAGGCAAAAAAAAAAAAAAAAACUCGACCGUAUUGCUUGAAAAGAUGCUUGAACCACUCAUCCGCACCUCUAGCAAAUAAUUUAUGGGUUUGCCACUGGUUGUGUUGUGCGCACAAUAUUACAUGAUAGAUGCAUAAGGUUGCGCGAUUAUGUACAUAUGUUAUGUUAAAGCGUUACUAUGUUAUCUACUACUUCUAAUAAAGCAAAACAAGCUUAAGCCAUAUGGCAUUAGCUUAAGCCAUUACUUGUCACGUGGCAUUUGCUUAGACCACUUUUUUUUGCUUUUUCCGCCAAAACCAUCAUCCUUAGCUUCUUUAAUACGCUUCACUUCACUCCAAAACCCUAAUACCCAUCUCAUGCAUCCGGUUCUUCCUUCUUCAUCGAUUGAUCUUCGAAAAACAUAGAUUUCUUCAUCUUCAAUCGCGAGUGGAAGCAACCAGUCCUUAUUAUGCAGCGUAUAAGAUUUGGUGCUUUUUGAAAGAUAGGAUCCAUCACUGUCUUCUCCAAACGAUUCAACAAAUAGUUCAACAAUUGGGAGUGAUGAUUUGGCAUACCAGGAAGGUCCUUUAGAGAGCUGAUCAUUCUUCCAAUCGAUUGCAAGCAGGUGAUGAGCUUCUUUCAGACUCCUUCCCCUACAAGGAACUCUUGAAUGGGAUCCUAUGAGAAGUUGAAGGAAAGUAUGAAGGCUAUGGUUAAGGAUAAAUGAUAAGAUCUUCAAAGGGGUCGAUGCUUUUGAAACUAAAAUAGUGCAAGACAUUAAGGAGGCUACUCUCUGGUGGAUGAUUAACAGAUCGAUAGGCGUCAAUCUCUCAAUCUGGUCCACUUUCUCUGGUUUAGACUUUGGUUAGUGUAUGUGUAUAGAUAAUUUUUUUAAAGUGAUUGGAUGUGUAAUGGGGUAAGAAUAUUUUGGAUAUAUCUUAGUGUGUUUUUUUGGA
rnacentral:lncRNA from 1 species